rnacentral:rRNA from 1 species
AUUGAACGCUGGCGGCAGGCCUAACACAUGCAAGUCGAACGAGUGGCGGACGGGUGAGUAAUGUCUGGGAAACUGCCUGAUGGAGGGGGAUAACUACUGGAAACGGUAGCUAAUACCGCAUAGCAGCAGCUGGGCCCAGGUGGCAUUCGCUGGUUGGGGGGGAAACGGCACACCAAGGCGACGAUCCCUAACUGGUCUGAGAGGAUGACCAGGCACACUGGAACUGAGACACGGUCCAGACUCCUACGGGAGGCAGCAGUGGGGAAUAUUGCACAAUGGGCGAAAGCCUGAUGCAGCCAUGCCGCGUGUAUGAAGAAGGCCUUCGGAUUGUAAAGUACUUUCAGCGGGGAGGCGUUACCCACAGAAGAAGCACCGGCUAACUCCGUGCCAGCAGCCGCGGUAAUUC